GUAUAAGCAAUUAUACCGUGAAACUGCGAAUGGCUCAUUAAAUCAGUUAUCGUUUAUUUGAUAGUACCUUACUACUUGGAUAACCGUGGUAAUUCUAGAGCUAAUACAUGCUAAAAACCCCAACUUCGGGAGGGGUGUAUUUAUUAGAUAAAAAACCAAUGCCCUUCGGGGCUCCUUGGUGAUUCAUGAUAACUUCUCAGAUCGCAUGGCUUUACGCCGGCGACGGUUCAUUCAAAUUUCUGCCCUAUCAACUUUCGAUGGUAAGGUAGUGGCUUACCAUGGUUUCAACGGGUAACGGGGAAUUAGGGUUCGAUUCCGGAGAGGGAGCCUGAGAAACGGCUACCACAUCCAAGGAAGGCAGCAGGCGCGCAAAUUACCCAAUUCCGAUACGGAGAGGUAGUGACAAUAAAUACUGAUACAGGGCUCUUUUGGGUCUUGUAAUUGGAAUGAGUACAAUUUAAACCUCUUAACGAGGAACAAUUGGAGGGCAAGUCUGGUGCCAGCAGCCGCGGUAAUUCCAGCUCCAAUAGCGUAUAUUAAAGUUGUUGCAGUUAAAAAGCUCGUAGUUGAACCUUUGGCCUGGCUGGCAGGUCCGCCUCACCGCGUGCACUUGUCCGGCCGGGCCUUUUCUUCUGGAGAACCGCAUGCCCUUCACUGGGUGUGUUGGGGACCAGGACUUUUACUUUGAAAAAAUUAGAGUGUUCAAAGCAGGCCUUUGCUCGAAUACGUUAGCAUGGAAUAAUAGAAUAGGACGUGCGGUCCUAUUUUGUUGGUUUCUAGGACCGCCGUAAUGAUUAAUAGGGACAGUCGGGGGCAUCAGUAUUCAAUUGUCAGAGGUGAAAUUCUUGGAUUUAUUGAAGACUAACUACUGCGAAAGCAUUUGCCAAGGAUGUUUUCAUUAAUCAGUGAACGAAAGUUAGGGGAUCGAAGACGAUCAGAUACCGUCGUAGUCUUAACCAUAAACUAUGCCGACUAGGGAUCGG
rnacentral:rRNA from 1 species